GACUCUCGGCAAUGGAUAUCUCGGCUCUCGCAUCGAUGAAGAGCGCAGCGAAAUGCGAUACGUGGUGCGAAUUGCAGAAUCCCGCGAACCAUCGAGUCUUUGAACGCAAGUUGCGCCCGAGGCCAUCCGGCCGAGGGCACGUCCGCCUGGGCGUC
rnacentral:rRNA from 1 species